rnacentral:lncRNA from 1 species
AUUCAACACAGUGGAGUUUCCUGGCACCUACUGUGGAUGAGGAACCUUGCUAGACAAUGGAGAAUAGAGUUUGAGAGAUGAGAAUUACAAAGAUGCAAAAGAACAUCCUGUUCACUUAAACAGCUUCAAGUCUAUCAGAAAAGAGAAAACAAAUGAGCUGGUAAGAGUAAAGCCAACCAGAAAGGUGACAGUACAGAAAGGUAGCAGAAAAAGCUGUGGAUGAGCUAAGUGAAGAGCCGCCUUCACUGUUAGGUGAGUUUACUCUUCUGUAGAAUGGAGAUAAUAACAGUACAUACCUGAUAUAGUUGUUUUGAGGAUUAAUAUGUAAAGCACCUAUAAUAUUGUUAACCGCUAUUGUUAGUAGUAGUAGUGGAAUGUCCUCUUCUCAUCUUCCAAGGUAUUGUUCUCUAAUGCUUUAGUUCUGCACUUAGAUCUCUUCUGCCCACACCACAAUCUGAAAAGGACAGUAAGCUGAGAUGAUGACUCUUUUUUUCCCCUUCUCUCAAGGAUCACUGUCACUUCUUUCUAUUGUCCAAUGUCUGAAAACAGUUGUUUUACAUAUUCUGUCUAGUUUCAUCGUUGUUUAUGGCGGAAGGGUUAUUCCAAAAGCAGAUUACUCAAUCAUGGAUGGAAACAGAAGUCCUGUUUUUGCUUUUAAAAUCUCCAUCUUUCUACAACACUAUUUCCAUAUAUGCAAGGCUAUGUGUAUUUAAUACUCAUGCUGUUUCGAAGUCAGAGGACUUCCAAAAUCUUAAACUCAUGUUUUUCUUCAAUACUGGAGAAUCUCAUACGUUUUUAUUUGAAUACUAUGUUUUCCUUAUUCUGUUUAUUUCUCCUGAAAAUUAUAAUAGGCAUAUGUUGGAUUUUUUUUCCUAGCCUACAUGUCUCAUACUUUUUCUAGAGUUUACAUUGUUUAUUUUUGUAUGUUUUAUUCUGAAUAAAUUUUUCAUUUUAAUCCAGUUUACUAAUUCUCUCCUUAGCCAUAUCUGUUCUGUUGUCUAACUUAUUCUCUGAGUUUUAAUCUCAAUGGCAACAAUUUUUAUUUCUAAAUGUUUUAUUUGAUUAUUUUUAUAUCUGCUGGUUUUGAAAUAGAAUCCUGAUCUUUCAUUAUGGUUUGUAUUUAUUGUUUUAAUUAUUUAAAAUAUUCUUCUUAUUAAAGUUCCUUUCAGCUUUUUUUUUUUUUUUCUGUUAUAGCUUUUUGCUUUACCUUCUGAAUCUUUCCAGUGGUAAAUUGUUUCCUCAAAAUGUUUGAAUUUUAAAAUGUUAUGUGAGCUUAUCUUUAGCAGAGACAUUUUUCCUUUGUGGGAGUCUUAUGUACUUUGGGUUACAUAAAUGUCUCUGAAGAAUGACUUUGUGUUUCUUUGGUCAGAGAUCCAGAUGUGCAAGGCCAAACCACAACAUUCCAACAUUCCCAACAUUUUAGGGAAAAUAUUUAUAUUGACAGCUUAUUUUGACCUUUCUUCAACAUUUAUAAUAUCUAAAUUUAGACCCCAUACCUUCAUGUGGCACAGAUUUGGGGUCUUAAUUUCUCACUGGAGAAUUUCUUUUUCUUACCAAGAGCUCUGAGCAGAUAAAUAAAUUCUGGGUCAACUGGAUUUUUUAAUCUCUUUCUCUUUUUUUUCCCCUGAAGAAACCAUUGUUUGGAUCUUCCAUUCUAAUUCCUCCACUCAUGUAGGAUUAAGGCCGCACAUCUUAUCACCAAGUGAAAUCUGAUGAUUUCUGGCCUGCAAUGGCACUGACUUUAUAUUUAGUGUUUUCCAGGUCCUUCUUUGUUUCUUACCUCUUGGUGAUUUCUUCUCUUUCACAUUUGACUCUUGCAUUUAAAAUAUACUAUUGUUUAUUCAACAUUUCUCUAUUUUUUGGUGUGAAUUUAGAGAGAGAACAGGGAUAGAAUGACCAGUUCAGAUAUCAAGUACUUGCAAGUUGAUCCUUAGUGUAAAGUGAGAUAGUAAUUGUAUCUGCUUCAUAAGAUACAAAAUAAUUGUGAGAAUUUUACAAGUAAGUAUCUAUGAAACCUUAGAAUGAUAUUUGUUCUAAUAUAUUAAUUACUGUGAUUAUUGUUUUAUUAUUAUUAUUAUUAUUAGCUUUAAUUUCUCUGUACUUCACAAUACUUCAUAUAGAAUUCCAAGCAUAAGUUUUGGAUUUUAUUAAGUAGGCAAUGAGAAAGCAUUGGUGGAUUUUGAGUAUAAUUUAAAUCUGAUUAAGUUUGAACCCUAGGAAGACUAAUCUGGAGAUCGAGUAUAAAAUAAAUUGUAAAAGGAGAGGCUGGAGAUCAGGAGACUAGUUAGCAACCUAUUACAAGAGUGCAAGUGUGAGAUAAGGCAGGCAUAAAUCACAAGCAUCGGUCAGUAAUAAUGAUAAAAAAGGAACAGACCCAAAAGAACUGUCAUCAAUUGGAGCUGUGGGUAGAAUAGAUAAGACUUGGAAACAUUUAAUAACAUUUAAUGGGAUCGAUGAUGAAGUGAUGUAUACAUAAUUGUAUUAAUCAAAUCAACGAUGAAUGAAUUUUCACAGAAGACUAUGCUGAUCACAUCGUUAAUAAUAAUAAUAAUAAUAAUGCAGAUUAAAAUGGCUGUAAGUUUUGGACACUUCUCCCAUCAUUAGCUGAGACCCAGUUCCAGCUAAUGGAUCUGGUCCGGUCUCCAAGAAUCAGCUAUAGCCUAUAGAAUAUGAUAUAAGGGAAGAAAAAGUAAGCCAGAGAAAUUGUGCAGUUUCCAUCUAGGUCUCUUGCAACACUCACUUUUGGGAUGAUUCCUUUCAGAAUUUAGCCACUAUGCCAUGAGAAGCCCAAGCCCCACGAAAUGGUCAUGUUUUUUUAGAUACUCUAGUUGACAGCAAUAGCACCCACUGCCUGCCUUGUGAGUGAGCCAUUUAGGAUGUUCAACCUAGUUGAGACUUCAGAUGACUCUUGGCCUCUAUUCAACUAUGAAUGCACAGCAAACUCCAAGGGAGAGAUACAGCAGAGUUCCUUCCAUGAAAUCAUGAGCAAAAUAAAAUGCCUGGGCUAAUUUGUUACACAGCAAUAGAUAACCAGAGUAAAUACUUAACAUGUAUUAAAUGCUUACCAUUUACUGGGAUAAAUACUUUAUAUUUCCUUGAAUAAUCUUAUCAAUAACUAUACUAUUCUUAUUCCAAUUUUAAAAGUCAAAACAACGAAGCUCAGGGAGGUUGAACCAACUUGCCCUGGUGAAGCCAGGGUUAGGAAUGAGAUCAAGGUUUCUAAAGAGCCUACACAUUCAACCACUUUGCCUCUUUCAGUCUGGGUUCUUCCAAAAGCCAUCCCUGAGAUAAAGAUUCAAGUGCAAGUAGUUUAUUUGGAAGCUGCUCACCGUAAACACGAGUAUGGUUGUAGGAAAGUGAAACAGGGACAGGAAGGAAGCCAAGAGGGAUGGCUUGUUAAGGAAGCUCCCCACUGUUUGUCAGUCUUGCUGAGCGACCGAGGGAGAUGGCGCUGAACAUGAGGUUUACCUCAGCUGAGGGGUGAGGAAGCUGGAGUGUUUAUCCUCUAAAACCUUAUUUGUGACGGGUUGAGGGCUGUUUCUAAGGCUAUUAACUCUCUAGCACUUCUGGUUUGACCUGACAAUGAGUUGAUAUGGCUCCCUGAUCAGAAAGACCUCCCCACCCGCAACGGCCAGGCAGAGAGUCACAGGUGUUUGCAGUCAGCAGCCUUCAGGUAGAGACGCGAAUACAGAGGGCAUGCAGAUGGCCAAUGACGGCAUCUGCCUGCAAUGCUGUCUCUCUCACACUCCUCCUAGUCACACAGAUAUCGAAGGUAGAAAUCAUAUAAAAGGCAGAAACAGCAAAUAAAAGAGCUUCUUCCUUAAACUACUGUCAUUUUAGAGAUUUACAGAGGUGUGUGCAUGUGUGUCUGUGAGUAUAAAAGCAAGUGUGCUUAGAAUUGGUGAAAGUACAGUCAAGAGAGUGGUGAGUCACUGUCCCCCUUCAGGAAGAGGGAGGAAGAGAAACAGAAUUCCUCUCUCUGCUUCAGCUGAGUGGGCUCCUUCCAUUCAUCUGCUCCUUUGUGCAUCUUUCCACCAACCCUGGGAUGUCUUUGUUUUUAUUUUUAAUUUAAUUAAUUAAUUAAUUAAUUUAGGCUGUGCUCUCGGCCAGGGGUCAAACCCGCACCACAGCAGGGACCCAAAGCCACAGCUGUGACAACCCUGGAUCCUUAACCAAGAGACCCCCAGGGAACUCCUCUGGGAUGUCCAUAUAUGGUUUAGAGGUGGUCAGUUGCAGUCAAGAGAAAAAGUAAAUAUUUAUUGCUCCUUUUAUUAGACCCUUAAAUCCACCCACAAUCAGCUGAGUAAAACUGGAGUAGAGAGCUGGAGCUGCCUCACAAAGUGCAAAGCCCAGAGUUGAAGGUGUGGGAGUAGGAGAUUUAGAAAUGCUCAACCAUUGUGAAAAUCUCUCCAAAUGUGUUCUUAUCUAUAUCACAGUUUCCUUUGUGUUAUAAACACGUAAUAACAUGUGAAAUACACACUCACUAUCAUCGUUUGCUUUUUCCACUUUGCCAUUUUAGGAGCUGGAGGAACGAAAAAUGAAUAAGUCAAUUUUAUCACUAAUGAUUUGUAGUUUGGGGCUGAGUCCCUGAAUUUUAGAAUAAGAAGAUGAAAAUGAUAGCUACAGAAUAUCUGUGUGGUAUUAAAUCACCUUUACCACAAAUCCAUUCAUUACAAAGUUCCCACUGCAUAUUAGGAUCGACAUGAGGGUCAAAUUGCAAAUGAUGUGGAUAAAAAUGCCAACCCUGGCAAAUAUAGUUCUAGGUCCUAAAAAACUAAUAAGUAACCUGCUUAAUGAAAACAAAAGGCUCUGUUUUUCUGGUUUGCUUACAUUUAGCUAUUCCCUGUACAAGUAUGUGAAAGUGAUAUGCAACUCCUUGAUUGGAAGUGCUAUGUGUCUUAUAUUUGCCUGUCUGCAAUACAUCCAAGGGGAAAUUAUUUUUUAAAAUCGUCACAGGCUAACAGGAUGGAGAGCAAAACUUAGGUAUCAUAGAGAAUAGCAUCGAAGUACGUGGAUUUCAAAGUGUGUUAGUGCAGAUAAAAGGAACUUUGAGGUUAAAUGAAGACUGGAAAAUUGAGAAGUUUCCUAGACAAGGUUUGGUUAACAUGGAAGUAAAUGAAAAGGCAAAGAGGACACAGAACAAGAGUCAAUCUUGGACAUUUUUCAGAGACAAAUAAAUAUGCUUGUUUUUAAUCCAUAAGGCCAAAUAUGUCCUCUCCUCAUAUUGGGCCAUACGUUUAAUUCACCAAGACAAAGACCAGAGCAAUGAGGAUUAACCUCAAGACUGGGAGAAUCUAGUAUUGACUCUGUCCCGAAGUAGCUGUGCGACCUUGAGCCGAACAGAUCACUGCCCUGGGCCUCACCCCAAAACAAGGAAAACAAAAAAACGAAAACAUAAAGGGUUUGUGGAAUCUUUCAAGUUCUUUCCAGCAUUGUGGAGCCAUAAAGUGCUACUUAACAGAAGCUUUGCCUGGAACAAAAUUAAAUCCAAAAGGAAAAUAGCUUUUGUAAUCAUAUCUGAACAUUUAAUUUGUCAUUUGCUUUAUGACAUAUGCAUGAGGCUUAUUUAAAAUAACUCUACAAGGUUAAUUACCAGUACAGAAUACAUCGAUUGUGUUGGUAGUACAAUAUUUUGUUAGGCCUGUGUGACAACAUUGCAAAGUAGAUCAGCUGCACGAUUGUUUGUGAUUUGGCGUUCCCCUAAGUUUAAAAUGGCCACAAUCCUAAACAUGUGUUCUCUCAUUCCCCCACCUCCAUAGACAAAGUGUGUGCCAUAAAAAAAAUCAACUCAAAAAAAAAAAGGCUUAUCACACGGUGGUAUAUGGAGUGACUGGCCAAGGGGAACUUGCUGUAUAGCACAGAGAACUCUACCCAAUAUUCUGUGAUAAUCUAAAUGGGAAAGGAAUCUGGAAAAAAGCGGAUGUGUGUAUAUGUAUUACUGAGUCACUUUGCUACACAGCAGAAAUGUUCACGGCAUUGUGAAUAAACUGUACUUCAAUAAAACU